rnacentral:rRNA from 1 species
UUCCAGACUCCUACGGGAGGCAGCAGUGGGGGAUAUUGCACAAUGGGGGGAACCCUGGUGCAGCGACGCCGCGUGGGUGAAGAAGCGCCUCGGCUCGUAAAGCCCUGUCAGCAGGGAAGAAAAUGACGGUACCUGAAGGAGAAGCCCCGGCUAACUACGUGCCAGCAGCCGCGGUAAUACGUAGGGGGCAAGCGUUAUCCGGAUUUACUGGGUGUAAAGGGAGCGCAGGCGGCCUUGCAAGUCUGAUGUGAAAGGCCGGGGCCCAACCCCGGGACUGCAUUGGAAACUGCGAGGCUGGAGUGUCGGAGAGGCAGGCGGAAUUCCUAGUGUAGCGGUGAAAUGCGUAGAUAUUAGGAGGAACACCAGUGGCGAAGGCGGCCUGCUGGACGAUGACUGACGCUGAGGCUCGAAAGCGUGGGGAGCAAACAGGAUUAGAUACCCCUGUA